rnacentral:rRNA from 1 species
GUAGCGACAAGGCAAGUGAGAACCUUGCCCGCCGAAAGACCAAGGGUUCCUGGGCCAGGCCAGUCCGCCCAGGGUGAGUCGGGACCUAAGGCGAGGCCGACAGGCGUAGUCGAUGGACAACGGGUUGAUAUUCCCGUACCCGUGUGUGGGCGCCCGUGACGAAUCAGCGGUACUAACCACCCAAAACCGGAUCGAUCACUCCCCUUCGGGGGUGUGGAGUUCUGGGGCUGCGUGGGAACUUCGCUGGUAGUAGUCAAGCGAAGGGGUGACGCAGGAAGGUAGCCGUACCAGUCAGUGGUAACACUGGGGCAAGCCGGUAGGGAGAGCGAUAGGCAAAUCCGUCGCUCACUAAUCCUGAGAGGUGACGCAUAGCCGGUUGAGGCGAAUUCGGUGAUCCUCUGCUGCCAAGAAAAGCCUCUAGCGAGCACACACACGGCCCGUACCCCAAACCGACACAGGUGGUCAGGUAGAGCAUACCAAGGCGUACGAGAUAACUAUGGUUAAGGAACUCGGCAAAAUGCCCCCGUAACUUCGGGAGAAGGGGGACCGGAAUAUCGUGAACACCCUUGCGGUGGGAGCGGGAUCCGGUCGCAGAAACCAGUGAGGAGCGACUGUUUACUAAAAACACAGGUCCGUGCGAAGUCGCAAGACGAUGUAUACGGACUGACGCCUGCCCGGUGCUGGAAGGUUAAGAGGACCCGUUAACCCGCAAGGGUGAAGCGGAGAAUUUAAGCCCCAGUAAACGGCGGUGGUAACUAUAACCAUCCUAAGGUAGCGAAAUUCCUUGUCGGGUAAGUUCCGACCUGCACGAAUGGCGUAACGACUUCUCAACUGUCUCAACCAUAGACUCGGCGAAAUUGCACUACGAGUAAAGAUGCUCGUUACGCGCGGCAGGACGAAAAGACCCCGGGACCUUCACUACAACUUGGUAUUGAUGUUCGGUACGGUUUGUGUAGGAUAGGUGGGAGACUGUGAAACCUCGACGCCAGUUGGGGCGGAGUCAUUGUUGAAAUACCACUCUGAUCGUAUUGGGCAUCUAACCUCGAACCCUGAAUCGGGUUUAGGGACAGUGCCUGGCGGGUAGUUUAACUGGGGCGGUUGCCUCCUAAAAUGUAACGGAGGCGCCCAAAGGUUCCCUCAACCUGGACGGCAAUCAGGUGGCGAGUGUAAAUGCACAAGGGAGCUUGACUGCGAGACUUACAAGUCAAGCAGGGACGAAAGUCGGGAUUAGUGAUCCGGCACCCCCGAGUGGAAGGGGUGUCGCUCAACGGAUAAAAGGUACCCCGGGGAUAACAGGCUGAUCUUCCCCAAGAGUCCAUAUCGACGGGAUGGUUUGGCACCUCGAUGUCGGCUCGUCGCAUCCUGGGGCUGGAGCAGGUCCCAAGGGUUGGGCUGUUCGCCCAUUAAAGCGGCACGCGAGCUGGGUUUAGAACGUCGUGAGACAGUUCGGUCUCUAUCCGCCGCGCGCGUCAGAAACUUGAGGAAACCUGUCCCUAGUACGAGAGGACCGGGACGGACGAACCUCUGGUGCACCAGUUGUCCCGCCAGGGGCACCGCUGGAUAGCCACGUUCGGUCAGGAUAACCGCUGAAAGCAUCUAAGCGGGAAACCUUCUCCAAGAUCAGGUUUCUCACCCACUUGGUGGGAUAAGGCCCCCCGCAGAACACGGGUUCAAUAGGUCAGACCUGGAAGCUCAGUAAUGGGUGUAGGGAACUGGUGCUAACCGGCCGAAAACUUACAACACCC